GCGCUGAAGCCAGUCGAAGAUACCAGCUGGCUGCAACUGUUUAUUAAAAACACAGCACUGUGCAAACACGAAAGUGGACGUAUACGGUGUGACGCCUGCCCGGUGCUGGAAGGUUAAUUGAUGGGGUCAGCCGCAAGGCGAAGCUCCUGAUCGAAGCCCCAGUAAACGGCGGCCGUAACUAUAACGGUCCUAAGGUAGCGAAAUUCCUUGUCGGGUAAGUUCCGACCUGCACGAAUGGCGUAAUGAUGGCCAGGCUGUCUC
rnacentral:rRNA from 1 species